CCUACGGGGUGCUGCAGUGGGGAAUAUUGGACAAUGGGCGAAAGCCUGAUCCAGCCAUGCCGCGUGUGUGAAGAAGGCCUUCGGGUUGUAAAGCACUUUCAGUGGGGAAGAAAGCCUUGGGGCUAAUACCCUCGAGGAAGGACAUCACCCACAGAAGAAGCACCGGCUAACUCCGUGCCAGCAGCCGCGGUAAUACGGAGGGUGCGAGCGUUAAUCGGAAUUACUGGGCGUAAAGCGCGCGUAGGCGGUCUGAUAAGCCGGUUGUGAAAGCCCCGGGCUCAACCUGGGAACGGCAUCCGGAACUGACAGGCUAGAGUGCAGGAGAGGAAGGUAGAAUUCCCGGUGUAGCGGUGAAAUGCGUAGAGAUCGGGAGGAAUACCAGUGGCGAAGGCGGCCUUCUGGACUGACACUGACGCUGAGGUGCGAAAGCGUGGGUAGCAAACAGGAUUAGAUACCCGGGUAGUC
rnacentral:rRNA from 1 species